AAUAAUAUGGGACUGACUUUGACAAAGGAAGAGGAAACACAGAUGCUACUUAACAUGUGAGCAAGUAAUGAAUAAGGAGAGAAAAGAAUGGAAGUAAUGAGGUCUUGGGUAUGGAGCAAAAAAAGGCAGCUCUCAUGACUUUGGGAUGAGUUUGUACAACUGCUAUUGACUCAUCAGCUUCCAGCUCUGAAAUCAGAUCUGCUAGGAAGGAAUGAAGAAGGAGUAGAGAGAGAGACCACACUUUGAUCCACUGCCUCCUGAAACAUCACAGCUACCUGAAAUCCUUUCAAUUUCUGUGAAUUAUUUAAAUUU
rnacentral:lncRNA from 1 species